rnacentral:rRNA from 1 species
UAAACGACUCUCGGCAACGGAUAUCUCGGCUCACGCAUCGAUGAAGAACGUAGCAAAAUGCGAUACUUGGUGUGAAUUGCAGAAUCCCGUGAACCACCGAGUUUUUGAACGCAAGUUGCGCCCGAAGCCAUCUGGUUGAGGGCACGUCUGCCUGGGCGUCACGU